GCCCUCUUAGCUCAGCGGAUAGAGCAGUGGUUUCCUAAACCACGUGUCCCAGGUUCGAUCCCUGGAGAGGGCG
rnacentral:tRNA from 5 species